UUUCGUAGCUAUGAAAUGGGAGUUCAGU
rnacentral:piRNA from 1 species